GAUGAAGAACGUAGCGAAAUGCGAUAAGUAAUGCGAAUUGCAGAAUUCAGUGAAUCAUCGAAUCUUUGAACGCACAUUGCGCCCGCUAGUAUUCUGGCGGGCAUGCCUGUCUGAGCGUCAUUUCAACCCUCGCCCCCGGCUUUUGCUGGGAGCGGUGUUGGGGAUCGGCCGCCCGUCACUGGGAGGCCGGCCCCGAAAUAGAGUGGCGACCACGCCGUGUGCUCCUCUGCGUAGUAGUAAAUCACCUCGCAGGCGGACAGCGUUGCGGCCUGCCGUAAAACCCCCAACUCUUUCUGGUUGACCUCAGAUCAGGUAGGAAUACCCGCUGAACUUAAGCAUAUCAAUAAGCGGAGGA
rnacentral:misc_RNA from 1 species